UACGUAGGGACCAAGCGUUGUCCGGAUUUACUGGGCGUAAAGGGCGCGUAGGCGGCAUGACAAGUCACUUGUGAAAUCUCCGGGCUUAACUCGGAACGGUCAAGUGAUACUGUCGCGCUAGAGUGCGGAAGGGGCAAUCAGAAUUCUUGGUGUAGCGGUGAAAUGCGUAGAUAUCAAGAGGAAUACCUGAGGUGAAGACGGGUUGCUAGGCCGACACUGACGCUGAAGCGCGAAAGCCAGGGGAGCAAACGGG
rnacentral:rRNA from 1 species